rnacentral:rRNA from 1 species
UACAUGGGGUGCAAACGUUGCUCGGAAUUAUUGGGCGUAAAGCGCACGUAGGCGGUUCGUUAAGUCGGACGUGAAAGCCCUCGGCUCAACCGAGGAAGUGCAUCCGAAACUGGCGAGCUAGAGUACGAAAGAGGGUCGCGGAAUUCCCGGUGUAGAGGUGAAAUUCGUAGAUAUCGGGAGGAACACCAGCGGCGAAGGCGGGCUUCUGGACGGUGACUGACACUGAGACGCGAAAGCGUGGGGAGCAAACAGG